rnacentral:rRNA from 1 species
UACCAGCACCCCGAGUGGUCGGGACGAUUAUUGGGCCUAAAGCCUCCGUAGCCGGCCUUACAAGUCCUCCGUUAAAUCCAGCUGCUUAACAGAUGGGCUGCGGAGGAUACUAUAAGACUAGGAGGCAGGAGAGGCAAGCGGUACUCAGUGGGUAGGGGUAAAAUCCGUUGAUCCAUUGAAGACCACCAGUGGCGAAGGCGGCUUGCCAGAAUGCGCUCGACGGUGAGGGAUGAAAGCUGGGGGAGCAAACCGG